CCUACGGGGGGCAGCAGUGAGGAAUAUUGGUCAAUGGCCGUAAGGCUGAACCAGCCAAGUCGCGUGAAGGAAGAAGGAUCUAUGGUUUGUAAACUUCUUUUAUAGGGGAAUAAAGGUAUCCACGUGUGGAUAUUUGCAUGUACCCUAUGAAUAAGCAUCGGCUAACUCCGUGCCAGCAGCCGCGGUAAUACGGAGGAUGCGAGCGUUAUCCGGAUUUAUUGGGUUUAAAGGGUGCGUAGGUUGUUUUUUAAGUCAGCGGUUAAAGGUUGUGGCUCAACCAUAAAAUUGCCGUUGAAACUGGAAGACUUGAGUGUGUUUGAGGUAGGCGGAAUGCGUGGUGUAGCGGUGAAAUGCAUAGAUAUCACGCAGAACUCCGAUUGCGAAGGCAGCUUACUAAGCCAUAACUGACACUGAAGCACGAAAGCGUGGGGAUCAAACAGGAUUAGAUACCCUAGUAGUC
rnacentral:rRNA from 1 species